rnacentral:tRNA from 1 species
GCCGAAGUGGUGGAAUUGGUAGACACGCCACCUUGAGGGGGUGGUGAGCUUUAGCUCGUGGAGGUUCGAGUCCUCUCUUCGGCACCA